AAGUGUUACAGCUCUUUUAGAAUUUGUCUGUCAGGUAUUCCAAUUUUUCGUUUUUCUUUCUUUCUUUUUUUUUAACCAGAAAACCCCU
rnacentral:snRNA from 1 species